rnacentral:lncRNA from 1 species
UGAGCUCCAAUGCGAUUGCAAGCAAUAUAUGGUGGUGUGCGCCGUCGACGAUGCCGAGGUUCGCAUUCGAUGCGACUAUUGUGACCACAGUCCCGGCGCCCACAACAGGAUUGCUGAUCUCGAGGGUCUUCAUACGGAGGCUUUCUCUGCAAAGAAAAAUGCAGCGGCACCGACAGAAAAGAAGUAAUACUGCUUUCUUGGAGGAAUCCAGGCCAGAACUAACAAACGAGGUGGCAUCGGCAGAGUUGCAGCUUUGUGCUGAGCUUCAACUGCGCUUUGGGUUCACUGUGGAUGAAGCGGAACAACGGCUAAAAAAGGCGGCACAAGUUUUCUCAGAGAAGGAAGGAAGGGAAACUUCAUUUUUAGAGCUCUCGAAGCACUUGCAAGGUUCGUCAGAGCACUGACUGAUAAUUGAGGCUGCUCUACCGACAGAAAUAAAAAAAAACGCUGCACUACAUGUAUACAUAUACAAGGACCAAGCUUGGGUGUAUGGAGGCAGCAAGGAAGAAAUAAUUCACCUGAAGGAACUGAACAUUGAACGUGCCGUCGUCAUAUGCUAUCUGAAAUACCUCAUGUACCCGUCUGCUUUUUCGCAGACCCUGAAUAUGGUCCAAAAACUUUUAAGACCUCAAGAACCUAUCCCACGUGGGCUUAUUUCAAACCGAUUGAAGUGUUUCUUGGCGCUUUUGAAGAAAAAAAAAGUCUGAUCACUAUAUAUGCCAUUGGUUGGUCAAACUUUAUUGCCAAAGAUUAUUUGGGCAGAUGUUUGGAAGUUUUCAUAUAAAUAUUUUCCAAGAAAACCUUUUCAGUUACGUAUAGCUGAAUUACUGUAUAUUUUUGCAUUUUAAAUAAAGUGCUUCAUGCUUUUUAUUUCUCUGA